AAGUCGUAACAAGGUUUCCGUAGGUGAACCUGCGGAAGGAUCAUUACCUUGUUGCUCAGGGCAUCCAAAGGUCGCAACCCAUGGGUUCCCUAGCAAUAUCAACCCUUUGUCUAUGUGCACCCUCCGUCCAUCCCUUCGGCUGGCUUGCGCCCGCCGAGAGGGGCUACCGACCUAAGUGCCUGAAAGCAUCGCAAAUUCUGAACCCGUAACAAAUAAUCACAACUUUCAACAAUGGAUCUCUUGGCUCUG
rnacentral:misc_RNA from 1 species